rnacentral:misc_RNA from 1 species
AAGUCGUAACAAGGUUUCCGUAGGUGAACCUGCGGAAGGAUCAUUAUUUUAAAAUUAUUAAUGUUUUGUGAAUUUUGUGUAAAAAGAGAGUUUUUAUUACACUCUUCUUCACAAUAAUGAAAAUUAUUAUAGUCUUAUUAAUAAAAUUUUUAUUAAAUAACUUUUAACAAUGGAUCUCUUGGCUCUU